CCUACGGGAGGCAGCAGUGGGGAAUUUUGGACAAUGGGCGCAAGCCUGAUCCAGCAAUGCCGCGUGAGUGAAGAAGGCCUUCGGGUUGUAAAGCUCUUUUGUCAGGGAAGAAACGGUGAGGGCUAAUAUCCCUUGCUAAUGACGGUACCUGAAGAAUAAGCACCGGCUAACUACGUGCCAGCAGCCGCGGUAAUACGUAGGGUGCAAGCGUUAAUCGGAAUUACUGGGCGUAAAGCGUGCGCAGGCGGUUUUGUAAGUCUGUCGUGAAAUCCCCGGGCUCAACCUGGGAAUUGCGAUGGAGACUGCAAGGCUAGAAUCUGGCAGAGGGGGGUAGAAUUCCACGUGUAGCAGUGAAAUGCGUAGAGAUGUGGAGGAACACCGAUGGCGAAGGCAGCCCCCUGGGUCAAGAUUGACGCUCAUGCACGAAAGCGUGGGGAGCAAACAGGAUUAGAUACCCUGGUAGUCCACGCCCUAAACGAUGUCUACUAGUUGUCGGUUUUAAUUAACUUGGUAACGCAGCUAACGCGUGAAGUAGACCGCCGUGGGGAGGUACGGUACGCGAGAAGUAAACGUAACAAAGUAGUAAGUUAGUACGGACGUGAGACGUAGACCGACGGACGACGACGAGGGAGGAGG
rnacentral:rRNA from 1 species